UGAGUACGAGAUGCUACGGCAUCGAAGCAGUCUAUGUCAUACUUCCAAGAAAAGCUUGCACUGUCAGAAACAGAUAAUGCCUGUACCAUAACCGACACAGGUGGGUAGGUAGAGUAUACUAAGGGGCGCGAGAUAACUCUCUCUAAGGAACUCGGCAAAAUGACUCCGUAACUUCGGGAGAAGGAGUGCCUUAUUUUUAAGGUUGCAAUAACAAGAUCCAAGCAACUGUUUACCAAAAACACAGGUCUCCGCUAAGUCGUAAGACGAUGUAUGGGGGCUGACGCCUGCCCAGUGCCAGAAGGUUAAAGAAGUCGGUUAGCAUUCGCGAAGCUGGUAACUGAAGCCCUGGUGAACGGCGGCCGUAACAAUAACGGUCCUAAGGUAGCGAAAUUCCUUGUCGGGUAAGUUCCGACCCGCACGAAAGGCGUAAUGAUUUGGAUACUGUCUCGGAGAGGGGCUCGGUGAAAUAGACUUGUCUGUGAAGAUGCGGACUACCUGCACCUGGACAGAAAGACCCUAUGAAGCUUUACUGUAACUUGAAAUUGAAAUUGGACUUUAUUUGCGCAGUAUAGGUGGGAGGCGUUGAAAAUAUUCUUGCGGGAAUAUUGGAGCCAUCAGUGAGAUACCACUCUUGUAAUGUUAGAUUUCUAACUUUAUAUCAUUAUCUGGUUAAAGAACAGUUUCAGGCGGGCAGUUUGACUGGGGCGGUCGCCUCCCAAAUGGUAACGGAGGCGCACAAAGGUUUCCUCUGAACGGGUAGAAAUCGUAUCUAGAGUGUAAAGGCAUAAGGAAGCUUGACUGUGAGACCUACAAGUCGAGCAGGGACGAAAGUCGGUCUUAGUGAUCUGACGGUGCUGAGUGGAAAGGCCGUCACUCAACGGAUAAAAGUUACUCUAGGAUAACAGGCUGAUCUCCCCCAAGAGUUCACAUCGACGGGGAGGUUUGGCACCUCGAUGUCGGCUCAUCGCAUCCUGGGGCGGUAGUACGUCCCAAGGGUUGGGCUGUUCGCCCAUGAAAGCGGUACGCGAGCUGGGUUCAGAACGUCGUGAGACAGUUCGGUCCAUAUCCGGUGUAGGCGUUAGAAUAUUGAGAGGAGCCUUCUUUAGUACGAGAGGACCGAGAAGGACAUACCUCUGGUGUACCAGUUAUCGUGCCAACGGUAAACGCUGGGUAGCUAUGUAUGGAGUGGAUAACCGCUGAAAGCAUCUAAGUGGGAAGCCCACCUCAAGAUAAGUAUUCUCAUG
rnacentral:rRNA from 1 species